rnacentral:rRNA from 1 species
GAUGAACGCUAGCGGCAGGCUUAAUACAUGCAAGUCGAGGGGCAGCACGGUUAGCAAUAACUGGUGGCGACCGGCGCACGGGUGCGUAACACGUAUACAAUCUACCUUAAACAGGGGGAUAGCCUUUCGAAAGAGAGAUUAAUACCCCGUAAUAAAUUGAACGGCAUCGUUUGAUUUUGAAAGCUCCGGCGGUUUGAGAUGAGUAUGCGUCUGAUUAGCUAGUUGGUGAGGUAACGGCUCACCAAGGCGACGAUCAGUAGGGGAUCUGAGAGGACUAACCCCCACACUGGUACUGAGACACGGACCAGACUCCUACGGGAGGCAGCAGUAAGGGAAUAUUGGUCAAUGGAGGGCAACUCUGAACCAGCCAUGCCGCGUGCAGGAUGACGGCCCUACUGGGUUGGUAAACUAGCUUUUAUUACAAGAGAAAACCCUA